rnacentral:piRNA from 1 species
AGCCUACUAUGCUCUGAACGCGC